UUGACGGGACCCGCACAAGCAGCGGAGCGUGUGGUUUAAUUCGAUGCUACACGAAGAACCUUACCAGGGUUUGACAUGUUGGUGGUAGGAAUUCGAAAGAUGACCGACCUUCGGGAGCCUUCACAGGUGCUGCAUGGCUGUCGUCAGCUCGUGUCGUGAGAUGUUCGGUUAAGUCCGCUAACGAGCGCAACCCUCGCUGUGUGUUACAAGUGUCACACGGGGACUGCCGGUAUCAAGCCGGAGGAAGGUGGGAUGACGUCAAGUCAGCAUGGCCUUUAUGUCCUGGGCUACACACACGCUACAAUGGUCGACACAAUAGGUAGCCAAGCCGCGAGGUGGAGCCAAUCCUUAAAGUCGGCCUCAGUUCAGAUUGUAGGCUGCAACCCGCCUGCAUGAAGAUGGAGUUGCUAGUAACCGCAGGUCAGCAAUACUGCGGUGAAUACGUUCCCGGGUCUU
rnacentral:rRNA from 1 species